UUUAUUUAAAAAAAUUGAUUAUAUAAUAAUUAGGUGAUAAUAAUCUGUAAAAAGAGAGAGAGAGAGAGAGGAGAAGAGGAGAACAAUGGAGCGGCGUUGAACGAAAGGAAAUUGGAGCGGCUAACCUUUCCGGUAAAAAUACUCAUCCAAGAUACCGAUCAUUAUUCAUACAUAUAAUUGGUUAAUUAGUGAGUACAAGUCAAUAUUAUACUGUCAUCGUUUUAUUGUUUCAAUUGUGAAAGAAAACUGAGAAAAACCAUGUUAGUUAUAUUAAUUAGAAGGAGAAGGAAAUUUGUUAAAGGCAGACUCAUGGUUAUUGUGUGAAAGUGGGGGAAUCUACAUUAAAUGAAAAUGAUGACAUAAUGAUUAAGGUAAUGAUUGACUAAUAAGGUUAUAAAAUUUGUUUAUACUAUACGAUGCAGGUAAUGAUUGACUAAUAAGGUUCCAUCUUUCCCUAAUCUUAAUUUGUUUUAUCUUCUUACAAAUUGAUUUUAGUAUAUUGAGAUAGUUAAUUAAAUAUUAAGUAUAGUAUAUUAUUGAAUGUCAUUAAGUAAGUUAUUUGGAUGGACCUCAAGAUUAGGAACUUGAGUAUAAAUUUGUGUUUACUGAUUAUGGGUCUAGGUUAGACAUAAAAUAAUAAGAGUGUUUAUAAAGUUGUUAACUUACAAGUUAUGCACAUAUACUUGAUAGAUUGGAAGGGUUCGGAGGCAUUGAGGAAAGAAAAAGUACUGCAGAAGUAACUUGCUUGACUUCGGUUCUUUGGUGGAGGUAUGUUAUGGUUUAUGCUAUUUGAUAGUAAACUCUUAAUAGUGACUGAUAUGCAUUAAAUGAUAUUGUGAAGUUUUCUAUGUACUUGAUUGUGUGAUUGUCUGGCUUGGUCGUGUGUUUUGUAAUUGGUUUGAAAUCCCGAGACCGUGGAAUGUGUAAUCUUAAACCAUCUCUAUCGAAGUAAUGCCUUGAAUAAAGUUUGUUCGAUAAAAUAUUAUUAACGAAUAAAAAAGUGGUGAUAUUAAAUGAUAAAUUAAUGGUAUUAUUGGAUCGGAGUGUCACGUUCCAAUACAGUAUUCUUGGAUCAGAGUGUCACGUUCCGACACGCUAAUUUUGGAUCGGAGUAUCACGUUUCGACACGAUAUUCUUGGAUCAGAGUGUCACAUUUCGACACGGUAUUCUUGGAUCGGAGUGUCACGUUCCGACACGAUAAUAUUAAUGGAAAAACAUGUUGAAUUAAUGGAAGAUACUUAAUCUCAAAGAACUCAACUCCCAAAAUGGUUUGGUUUGAAGGCAUGAGUCCUCAUGUGUGAUCUUGAUACUGUUGACUUAAUACGUGCUUACUUUAUUGCUAUUGACACUUGUUCAUGUUGUUUGUUUCUUAUCACAUGUUAACUGCUAUAGUUGAGUUCAUAAUAUUAUUCUUUGUGUAUUAGUUACUAUUUUGAGUUGACCGAUGAUACUUACUCAGUACAUGUUGCCUCGUAUUAAGCCCUACUUGUUUCUUCUUUGUUUUCCUUUAAUAAAAUGCAGCGAGUGUACCUAUGACUACUGAUUUUUCUCAGUUUUAGCCAGUCUCCCGCAUAUCAAGUUCCAGGGGGAGCUAUCCAUUCAAGCUCGUGUUGGGUUCCUCGGUCAUGACAUGAUGUCCUAUCAUUUCGGACAUAUACCAUUUUAUUAUUUUAUUUUGGUGUAUUUGAUAUUCUUAGACUUAGUAUUGGAGAUUAAAUGUCCUUGAUGUAAUGACUUUCAGAUUUUGGGAAAUGAUAUUUAGUAACAUUUGAGUUUCCGCGUUAUGCUUGUAUUUUGUAAGUUAGGUUAAAUUGGUUGGUUCGCCCACUUAAAAGGUUAAGUGUGGGUGUCACUCACGACUCGUUUUGGGUCGUGACAGUUAAAUUAUAUAAACUUUCACCCAUAUUAUAUUUAAUAUGUAUUUUUUUUAAUCAUAUUAAUGUGAGAAACUUUGAAUCUUAUAGUAUUUUUCGUACAUAUUUCAAAAUAUUUAAAUUUUAAUUUUAAAAUAGUGAAUAAAUCUAAUUCAUUUUAGUGUUGACAAUAGUUAAAUUAACCAUAAAAAGGUAAAAUAUGAUUAAAAAAAAUGAAUGGAAGCAGUAAUUAGUAGAUGUUAUAGGUCGA
rnacentral:lncRNA from 1 species